rnacentral:rRNA from 1 species
AUAGAGGACGAACUUGAGCCCGACAUUGCCCAUGGAGAAGAGGAACAUGAGGCCGAUGUUGCCCAUGGAGAAUAUAACCUGCAUGAAUCGGAUGAAUCGAACCAUGAACUUGAAGACCAAGGCGGUGUUUUCCAGAGCAUGGAAGAGGAAGUGCAAGCAAUGGAUGAAGCUCUACAUAACCUUCAAGUUGACGAGGAAGACUAUGGUGUUUAUGCAGGCGAUAUAGAGACUCAAUUUGAGGAAGAAGAGCUUGACGAUUCAACAGAUGAAGCCAUGUAUGAUUCAACACCAGAAGAAGACAUUUAUGUGGAGCAAGAGCAACAAGGUAAUGAGCAAAUUCACGAUGAAGGAAAAUACAAGAACUUAAUAGAUUUGCAAAGGACCGGUAUUUAUGAAGAAUUGCUAGCAAGAAGUGUCAAUCGAAAAUUAAAGAAGACCACAACCAUAGAAGUUGCAGACAUGUUCCAUGUUUCGGUGCAGAAGGUCAGACGUGUUUGGAGGAGAGUGAAGGAGUGCCUUCGACAAGGCAUACCCGUUGAUGUAAGAUCAAGGAAGCCGAAAAACUAUGGGUGCAAAAGGAUUGUA